rnacentral:rRNA from 1 species
CCGGCCACACCGCAAGGUGCGCGCCGUGUUAGGUCGUCGGCACCGGCCGGUCGGGGUCGUUUCGGCGGCGGCGGGCUGCACUUCUCUCCCGGUAGGUCGUCGCGACCCGUUGGACUUUGCGGGGGUCUCACCGGGAUGGAGCCCGAGGGGAUCGCCGAGGAAUCUCGGGUUCACGUUCCCCCGGACCCCGGUCGCCCGGCCCCGGUUCGACGGUAUGAGGCGUGGAGAUGGCCCGCUCUCUUGCGAGCGUCCGGCCCGGGGCUAACGCCGC